rnacentral:lncRNA from 1 species
UCUUUCUUUUCGCCAUCUUUUGUCUUUCCGUGGAGCUGUCGCCAUGAAGUAAGCACGACCCGUGGUUCCCAAUCCGCUUACAUCCUCGGGCAGAACUCCUCUCUGUCGUCCCUGGCAUGGCUGUAGACACCCUCCCUGAUGGACUUUCACUUUUUGUUGCAGGGUCGAGCUGUGCAGUUUUAGCGGGUACAAGAUCUACCCCGGACACGGGAGGCGCUACGCCAGGACCGACGGGAAGGCACCUACAAAGGCAGCACCUAAGCAAAAGAUUGUGAAGCCUGUGAAAGUUUCAGCUCCCCGAGUUGGUGGAAAACGCUAAACUGGCAGAUUAGAUUUUUAAAUAAAGAUUGGAUUAUAACUCUAG